rnacentral:rRNA from 1 species
UAUUGCACAACGGGGGAAAGCCUGAUGCAGCAACGCCGCGUGAGCGAUGAAGGCCUUCGGGUCGUAAAGCUCUGUCCUCAAGGAAGAUNNUGACGGUACUUGAGGAGGAAGCCCCGGCUAACUACGUGCCAGCAGCCGAGGUAAUACGUAGGGGGCUAGCGUUAUCCGGAAUUACUGGGCGUAAAGGGUGCGUAGGUGGUUUCUUAAGUCAGAGGUGAAAGGCUACGGCUCAACCGUAGUAAGCCUUUGAAACUGGGAAACUUGAGUGCAGGAGAGGAGAGUGGAAUUCCUAGCGUAGCGGUGAAAUGCGUAGAUAUUAGGAGGAACCCCAGUUGCGAAGGCGGCUCUCUGGACUGUAACUGACACUGAGGCACGAAAGCGUGGGGAGCAAACAGG